CUGAUUUUUGGGUGAUUUUGGUUGAUUUUUACUUUUUUUUCACUUCUUUCCUGAAAUACAAAAUAUGCCUAUAUUAGAAUAUAAUUUUUAAUAAAAUAAAUCAAAAAUAAAUCAAAACUUAGUAAAUAAGGAUACAAAAAUAUAGUAUAAAUAUGAGCUUAUCAAGAACCAAAGCUCUUAUACCAAUUUUUGCCCAGCU
rnacentral:lncRNA from 1 species